CGCCUGUUUAUCAAAAACAUCGCCUCUUGCAACUCAACGUAUAGGAGGUCCCGCCUGCCCUGUGACUAUAAGUUUAACGGCCGCGGUAUUUUGACCGCGCGAAGGUAGCGCAAUCACUUGUCUUUUAAAUGGAGACCUGUAUGAAUGGCAUAACGAGGGCUUAGCUGUCUCCUCUUCUAAGUUAAUGAAAUUAAUCUUCCCGUGCAGAAGCGGGAAUAAAUCCAUAAGACGAGAAGACCCUAUGAAGCUUUAGACAAAAGGUAGACCAGACUACAAAGACCCCCGAAUAACGGGACAAACCAAAUGGACCCUGCCCUCCUGUCUUUGGUUGGGGCGACCGCGGGGAAAGAAAAAACCCCCACGUGGAACAGGAGUACUGCUCCUUAAGCUCAGAGCCACAGCUCUAAGAAACAGAAUUUUUGACCUAAAGAUCCGGCAAUGCCGAUCAACGGACCGAGUUACUCUAGGGAUAACAGCGCAAUCCCCUUUUAGAGACCAUAUCAACAAGGGGGUUUACGACCUCGAUGUUGGAUCAGGACAUCCUAUUGGUGCAGCCGCUAUUAAGGGUUCGUUUGUUCAACGAUUAAAGUCCUACGUGAUCUGAGUUCAGACCGG
rnacentral:rRNA from 1 species